AGAUAACUCUCUCUGUUGGAUUGAACACCUAUUCAGCUGUCAUGUCGCGGCACAGGAGACAGGCCAGCAUCGAACUCCUGGAGCUGAUGGGAGUGGUGAAGGAAAACGGGCACCCUUCCGAUAGUCCUGAGACAUCACCACUACUUCCCACAGUGCAUACUCCACUAUCAUACGACUAUGUCCUGGUCGCUAAGACAGUGGAUGAUCCGGAGAAAGAUACCUUCAAGAUGCAAG